ensembl:lncRNA
AUGAAUAAGAGCACUGAAUUGAAAGAUUCCAACAAGUAUCCAUGCAAAAAAGCCCACGUAUUAAUGUGCCCGACCACAUCCCUGACUGGGACCACGUGCCCGAACAUUUCCCCAAGCACCUCCCUGACCUUGUCCCUGUCCGCUUCCCUGACCUUGUCCCUGUCCGCUUCCUUGACCUUGUCCUUGACCUUGUCCCUGUCCGCUCCCCUGACCCUGUCCUUGUCCCUGUCCGCUCCCCUGACCCUGUCCCUGACCUUGUCCCUGUCCGCUCCCCUGACCCUGUCCCUGACCUUGUCCCUGUCCGCUCCCCUGACCCUGUCCCUGACCUUGUCCCUGUCCGCUCCCCUGACCCUGUCCCUGACCUUGACCCUGUCCCUGACCCUGUCCGCUCCCCUGACCCUGUCCCUGACCUUGUCCGCUCCCCUGACCCUGUCCCUGACCUUGACCCUGUCCCUGACCCUGUCCUUGUCCCUGUCCCUGACCUUGUCCCUGACCCUGUCCGCUCCCCUGACCCUGUCCCUGACCUUGUCCCUGUCCGCUCCCCUGACCCUGUCCCUGACCUUGUCCCUGUCCGCUCCCCUGACCCUGUCCCUGACCUUGACCCUGUCCCUUACCCUGUCCGCUCCCCUGACCCUGUCCGCUCCCCUGACCCUGUCCUUGUCCGCUCCCCUGACCCUGUCCCUGACCUUGUCCGCUCCCCUGACCCUGUCCCUGACCUUGACCCUGUCCCUGACCUUGACCCUGUCCCUGACCCUGUCCUUGUCCCUGUCCCUGACCUUGUCCCUGACCUUGUCCCUGACCCUGUCCGCUCCCCUGACCCUGUCCCUGACCGCUCCCCUGACCCUGUCCCUGUCCGCUCCCCUGACCCUGUCCGCUCCCCUGACCCUGACCCUGUACGCUCCCCUGACCCUGACCCUGUCCCUGUCCGCUCCCCUGACCCUGACCCGGUCCCUGACCUUGUCCCUGUCCCUGUCCGCUCCCCUGACCUCGUCCCUGUCCGCUCCCCUGACCCUGUCCUUGACCUUGUCCGCUCCCCUGUCCCUGACCUUGACCUUGUCCCUGUCCCUGACCCUGUCCCUGACCCUGUCCCUGACCUUGUCCCCUUCCAUAACUCUGACCACUUCCCUGACCAUACCCACUUCCCUGGCCACUUCCAUAACCCUGACCAUACCCACUUCCCUGACCACUUCCGUAACCACUUCCCUGACCAUACCCACUUCCCUGACCACUUCCGUACCCACUUCCCUGACCACUUCCGUACCCCUGACCACUUCCCUGGCCGUAACCACUUCCCUGACCACUUCCGAAACCCUGACCACUUCCCUGACCAUACCCACUUCCCUGACCACUUCCGUACCCCCUUCCCUGACCACUUCCGUACCCCUGACCACUUCCCUGGCCGUAACCACUUCCCUGCCCACUUCCGAAACCCUGACCACGUCCCUCGCCAUAACCACUUCCCUGGCCGUAACCACUUCCCUGGCCACUUCCAUAACCCUGACCACUUCCCUGACCACUUCCGUAACCCUGACCGCUUCCUUGUCCAUAACCACCUCCGUAUCCCUGACCACUUGCCUCAUCACUUUCCUGAUCAUCUGGUUCACUACAUACAUGGCCACAGGUGGUUGGGCAACACUUCUGUGCGGCAGGACACUGGCCAUCAUGGAAACAGCUUUCAGCACAUCCUGGAACGCUCUUCGUUUUGGGACAUUGACCCGGCUUCACUGCAUGGACACAGAUAGUCAGCUUUAG